CAGUCAUAACUGUGGUGACCAACGCCCCUUCCUCUGCUCCAGAGAUGUCAAACCUUCGGCCUCGAGGUCAGUGAAGGUUCAGCUGAGGGCGGGAUCUGCAGACCUGAACGACCCCACAGUGCAAGAAUCCAUCCUGCAGCAGGUGAGGGAGAAGCUGGUGGAGCAAGGAGUCACUGAGGAGGUGAAGCUGAGGUGGAGGACGCAGCCUGAUGGGAAGAUUUUCCACAGAGAGGAGGAGACAGCCGGUUACUGUGAGAAGGAAGACUGUGGGUCGGUUUAGUCUGAACGUUAUUGGCUGAUGUUCCUCAGAUG